GUUUACAAAAACAGUUUUAAACUACAUUAUCCAGGUAAAGUCAUUACCCAUAAAGCCACACACUUCCUUCAGACUCACAACCAAUAGAUAGGCAGUUUUGAGACAGACAGGUAUAGUUACCAAUUAUACAGAACCUCCUUAUUUUAGCUCCACCCCUAAUUUAACCUAGAUCCCACCCCAGAGCUUAUUUAAGGAUAUGGAUGGGAACAAAAAGCAUAUGUCCUCUGAAGAAGCAGGAUUCCCUGCGAAACGUUAGGACGUCGAACUCAAAAAGCACCGUGAACUGCACAUCAAAAAGAUACUGUUUGACGGGGAAAACAUUGCCAAUUUUUGUGUCCUGUUUUACACAAAAAAAUUUUUUAAUGGAGAAAAAUCCUUUUUAAACCGUUUUGUGAGUACUCACAUUUUUAAACCCUUUCUUUUUUUUGGGUUUUUAUUCCCCCCUCCCUUUUUUUCGGUUUUAUUCCCCCUUCUUUUUGGAGUACAACACCCAAGCCAGAGGGGCCUACAAAACUUCCUGUUUGGUGAACUCCUAGGCCGCUUAGGCCUUCUGGUAAGGAACUGAGUUGUUAAUCAGCUACAGGAUCCUUGUCCCAAGGAUUCUUAUCAGCAUACUCAUGGGAGUCCGAGUAAAGACGACACAAACCUUGUGGCAAGUUCUCCACAGAUGCAUUUAUCGAAAAGCAAUGGAACACCUCGGCCUUUAAACAACAACUCCGAUAAGACCAAGGGGGAGCCGACCCAGGGGGAUAGGAAGCAGGAGAGGAAGGAGGUGAUGAAUGGGUCUACAGAAAGGAAGACCACGUCCUUGAGAAAAGCCCGAUCUGAAUCCUCCCUUUCCCUUUCCCCUUCCUCUUUCUCGUUGACUCCCCUGCAUGUGGAACAUCCGGACAGGGUGGAGCCCCAAAUAAAAACCUGUGAAGUGAGGAACCAUUGGGUUCCUACUAGACAUCCUAACACCACUAGAAAGAUUGCAGAUUGGACACUGGAAGUAAAGAAACCAGUUUUGUUUAUAGGGGACUCCAACCUGUCCAGAAUUCCCUAUUUUAGUGACGAAAAUGUUCAGGUGGAUAGUUACCCUGGAGCCAACUUUUUACAUAUAGCCAAAGUGUUACAAAAAUUAACCCCUAAUCCAAACACUCAAAAAGUCGUCCUAUCAUUAGGAAUCAAUAAUAGAGAACAAACAUUCGAAAGUACAACAAAAAAACAGUUGCAAGAGCUGUGGAGAAUUGCUGCAGUGGUUUUUCCCAAUGCCACGAUCUACACCCCAUUAUUAAACUACUCGGAUAUCCUACCUAGACGACAACAAGAAACUCUAACAAAACUGAACACUCAUAUACUGGCACAUGGUAAUCCAUUGCAGGAACUUCACCCACUUAGGUUCAAGGUGAACCCGAGGGACCCUAUCCACUGGACCACGGAAACGGCUUCGCAAAUGUUUACAUACUGGUUGGAUCAGUUAAACUUUUAGGAAUGGUGAAGUGCAAUAAAACAGACAACAAAAAGCACACCAACAUCAUUAACCUAUCCAAAACGUUUUGUCUCACAGGUCCGCAGGAGGAUUUACUCAGCAAGGGUCUCACCUUCAUCCCGACGCCAUGCGGUACGGACUUGGGGGAGCUGGGGAGGGAUGUCCACGCUUACAAUAGACAACUUAAAAUUUUAGACCACUUCCAAUACACAAAAUGUAAAGAACACUUACAGUUUACAGAAAAAUCCAGAUGGGAACCGAGCACCGAACAGACCAGUUUACCUAUAAAGCAGUUGAUUAAAAAGAACAGGAUGAUUAUCAAUUCUCUUUCAGAUUUUUCCAACAAUCAAGCAGAUAAUUUAACCGCCACAGAACGCAGAGCACUCAAAGAAUUACAAACCAACAAAGAUAUAAUAAUUAAACCGGCAGAUAAAGGCUCAGCGAUCGUCAUAAUGGACAAACAACAAUACUUACUAGAAGCAAAUAGACAAUUAAACAAUACCAGUCAUUACACUUUACUUCCACACUCAUUACAACAGGAAACACAAUCAUUGGUAACAUCCAUUUUACAGGACUUAAAACAGAAAGGCUUCAUUAACACUAAACAGUUUAAUUAUCUUAUUGGUCCAAACCCA